GGUGGCUUGGGUUCCAUUUACGUCUGGGCUUCAGGCAAUGGGGGUGCCAGCUUUGACAACUGCAACUGCGAUGGUUACACCAACAGCAUUUACACAUUGUCUGUUGGUAGUACCACCGAGAAGGGAACUCUGCUCUUCUACAGUGAACCCUGCUCGGCCAUUCUAACAACUACCUACACUGGUGGAAGCUUUCAACACCACAGAAUUGUCACCACUGACCUGCAUCAGUCCUGCACCUCUGACCAUACUGGGACCUCUGCCUCUGCCCCUCUGGCUGCUGGGAUCAUUGCACUGGCUCUGGAGGCAAACCCAAGACUUACCUGGCGUGAUGUGCAACACCUCGUGGUGCGAGCAUCAAGACUGGCAGAUCUUCGAGCGCAUGAUUGGCGGCCCAAUGGUGUUGGUA